rnacentral:rRNA from 1 species
AAUAGAUACCCAGGUAGUCCACGCCGUAAACGAUGUCGAUUUGGAGGUUGUUCCCUUGAGGAGUGGCUUCCGGAGCUAACGCGUUAAGUCGACCGCCUGGGGAGUACGGCCGCAAGGUUAAAACUCAAAUGAAUUGACGGGGGCCCGCACAAGCGGUGGAGCAUGUGGUUUAAUUCGAUGCAACGCGAAGAACCUUACCUACUCUUGACAUCCACGGAACUUUUCAGAGAUGAAUUGGUGCCUUCGGGAACCGUGAGACAGGUGCUGCAUGGCUGUCGUCAGCUCGUGUUGUGAAAUGUUGGGUUAAGUCCCGCAACGAGCGCAACCCUUAUCCUUUGUUGCCAGCGGUUAGGCCGGGAACUCAAAGGAGACUGCCAGUGAUAAACUGGAGGAAGGUGGGGAUGACGUCAAGUCAUCAUGGCCCUUACGAGUAGGGCUACACACGUGCUACAAUGGCGCAUACAAAGAGAAGCGACCUCGCGAGAGCAAGCGGACCUCAUAAAGUGCGUCGUAGUCCGGAUUGGAGU